GACGAACCAUGCAAACGUUAUUCGGAUUCACUGGGCUUAAAGCGUGCGUAGGCGGUCUUGUUAGUCAGGUGUGAAAGCCCUCAGCCUAACUGAGGAAUUGCGCUUGAUACUGCAUGACUAGAGAAUGAUAGAGGUGGGUGGAACUGAUGGUGGAGCGGUGAAAUGCGUUGAUAUCAUCAGGAACACCAGUGGCGAAGGCGACUCACUGGGUCUUUACUGACGCUGAUGCACGAAAGCUAGGGUAGCAAACGGG
rnacentral:rRNA from 1 species